CUAAAGGCUACACAUCACCACUGAAUUCAACAUGCAAACCGUGUACGAAUGACAUGCACGGUUACAAAUGUAAAGACACUUGCACGUGUACCAGCAAUGAAAAGUGCGAUCACAUUAAGGGGUGCAUCCUUGAUGACAGAAGAACAAGAGGAAACAACAACGCAAGUAGAGGCAACUCUGAAGAUCUGUCUACCACAUCAAGUAA